UAGGGAAUCUUCGGCAAUUGACGAAAGUCUGACCGAGCAACGCCGCGUGAGUGAAGAAGGUUUUCGGAUCGUAAAACUCUGUUGUUAGAGAAGAACAAGGACGUUAGUAACUGAACGUCCCCUGACGGUAUCUAACCAGAAAGCCACGGCUAACUACGUGCCAGCAGCCGCGGUAAUACGUAGGUGGCAAGCGUUGUCCGGAUUUAUUGGGCGUAAAGCGAGCGCAGGCGGUUUCUUAAGUCUGAUGUGAAAGCCCCCGGCUCAACCGGGGAGGGUCAUUGGAAACUGGGAGACUUGAGUGCAGAAGAGGAGAGUGGAAUUCCAAGUGUAGCGGUGAAAUGCGUAGAUAUAUGGAGGAACACCAGUGGCGAAGGCGGCUCUCUGGUCUGUAACUGACGCUGAGGCUCGAAAGCGUGGGGAGCAAACAGG
rnacentral:rRNA from 1 species